UCUGUGCUUCUCAUGAUAAUAAUGUUUUCAUUUAGCUGGUGAAAGGUUGCAUCAGUCUUUCUGUUGUUUGAGUUGGGUCACGUGGUUGAACUGACUCUCAAAUCUCAAAUUUUACCUGCGAUGUUCCAGAAGGUGGAAGUGUUUGUUGGCAAUUCUGACUAUGUUCUACGAUUUUGGUAGCUAUGGGCCUUUUUUCUAAUUCAAUUUUUGGCUUUGCAAGUACCUUAAGUUUCUUUUAUGCAUUAAAUUAGCUGAUAGCACAGUGACAGUAUUCCUGAAUUGUUCCAAAUUUAUCAAUUUUUUUUUGUUGAACAAACAAAACUGAAUCUAUCCUGUAUAGAGUUCAGCAGAGCCGGAAAUAUUUUCGAUUAUCAUUAUCUGUUGUGAAUUAAUUGUGAAUUUUUAUAAAAUCUGAAAAAUAUUAUGAAUUUUUUGGUGCUUAUUUUUUUCUUAUGUGGAUAUUUUUAUUAAUUUUUUUCUAGGAUAUUUGGAUUAUUUUCCGCAUAACUUGUGAAACCCUGUUACUAAAGUGCUUCAUGAUUCCAAAAUCUAUAAAGUAGCGAUGGAAAUUGCAAGGAAAAGGGCCCCUAGUAGCUGUAUAGAUUAUUUGAGCUCACGGGAUGUAACAUUGUGCAAAUAUUGUGGAAUUUUGGUCUAUGUAUGGUCCUCAUGGCACCCUAAAGCAACAAGAAACAUGACUAGAUUCUUGGAAUACACAAGGAUAGUCUACAAUCAAAAUGGCAUUUUGCAAUAGAUUCGGAGGCCUCUUGAGGCAGACCAUUUCACAAAACAGUGCAGUAAUUGGACAAGUUCCUAUGGCAUCUAUGAUUAACAGUAUUCGUUGCAUGUCAUCUUCAAAGCUUUUUGUCGGAGGUCUUUCAUGGGGAACUGAUGACCAGUCUCUUAAAGAUGCAUUUUCGAAUUGGAUUUAUUACAUACAUCAUUAUUCUUAUUAUAUUCAAGUUUCUUCAUAGCAGAACUUUAUGCACUUAAAAUUUUCAAUUGCUAUAGAAUCGUAUUACCUUGUACAGGAACAACUAAUUUAUUGAUCUGUUCUUAUGUAGCUUAUAAUUUUUCGAUCAUGACAUGU